rnacentral:rRNA from 1 species
GGAAUUGUUCGCAAUGGGCGCAAGCCUGACGACGCAACGCCGCGUGGAGGAUGAAGGUCUUCGGAUUGUAAACUCCUGUUGCCCGGGACGAAUGGCUCCGACCUAACACGUCGGAGUGUGACGGUACCGGGUGAGGAAGCCCCGGCUAACCCUGUGCCAGCAGCCGCGGUAAUACAGAGGGGGCAAGCGUUGUUCGGAAUUACUGGGCGUAAAGGGCGCGUAGGCGGCCUUCUAAGUCGAACGUGAAAUCCCCGGGCUCAACCCGGGAACUGCGUCCGAUACUGGAAGGCUUGAAUUCGGGAGAGGGAUGCAGAAUUCCAGGUGUAGCGGUGAAAUGCGUAGAUAUCUGGAGGAAUACCGGUGGCGAAGGCGGCAUCCUGGACCGACAUUGACGCUGAGGAGCGAAAGCUAGGGGAGCAAA